rnacentral:rRNA from 1 species
UACAGGGGGGGGCAAGCGUUGUUCGGAAUUACUGGGCGUAAAGGGUUCGUAGGUGGCCACUUAAGUCAGACGUGAAAUCCCUCAGCUUAACUGGGGAACUGCGUCUGAUACUGGGUGGCUUGAGUGCAGGAGAGGAAUGCGGAAUUCCAGGUGUAGCGGUGAAAUGCGUAGAUAUCUGGAGGAACACCGGUGGCGAAGGCGGCAUUCUGGACUGUAACUGACACUGAUGAACGAAAGCCAGGGGAGCAAACGGG